rnacentral:rRNA from 1 species
AACGAACACUGGCGGCAGGCUUAACACAUGCAAGUCGAACGCCCCGCAAGGGGAGUGGCAGACGGGUGAGUAACACGUGGGAACGUGCCCUAAGGUUUGGAAUAUUCCCGGGAAACUGGGAGCAAUACCAAAUGUGUCCGCAAGGAGAAAGAUUUAUCGCCUUAGGAUCGGCCCGCGUCAGAUUAGGUAGUUGGUGGGGUAAAAGCCUACCAAGCCGACGAUCUGUAGCUGGUCUGAGAGGACGACCAGCCACACUGGGACUGAGACACGGUCCAGACUCCUACGGGAGGCAGCAGUGGGGAAUAUUGCACAAUGGGGGAAACCCUGAUGCAGCCAUGCCGCGUGUGUGAAGAAGGCCUUCGGGUUGUAAAGCACUUUCAGCGAGGAGGAAAGGUCAGUAGCUAAUAUCUGCUGACUGUGACGUUACUCGCAGAAGAAGCACCGGCUAACUCCGUGCCAGCAGCCGCGGUAAUACGGAGGGUGCAAGCGUUAAUCGGAAUUACUGGGCGUAAAGCGUGCGCAGGCGGUUCUAUAAGACAGAUGUGAAAUCCCCGGGCUCAACCUGGGAACUGCAUUUGUGACUGUAGAGCUAGAGUACGGUAGAGGGGGAUGGAAUUCCGCGUGUAGCAGUGA